rnacentral:misc_RNA from 1 species
UGGUAAUUGAUGUCAAAUAACUUUAAGCAAAGAAACUGAACUAUGAAUACUCACAAUUGGAUUUCUAAUCUGCAAUCAUAACCAGUACAGACUUGGCUAUAUAUAGCCUUACAAUGACUAAAAAGAACACACGAAAUCUGAAUAAAUCACAAGAAAUUAGGACUCCCUAAGGAAUAGAACUUCCCUAAAGAAUAGGUCCAUUAUCUAACAGAAAUUAUUUCAACAGAACAUAAAGACUAAAACUUCCUAACAAUUGAGAUCCAUUGUAAUUUGCCUUCAAAUUCAAUUCGCUCCUGAUUUCUAAGCAGGUAGAAUCAAACACGAAAUUCCCUUAUUCAAAUGCUUGAUAUAACAAACCAACAAUA